GACGAACGCUGGCGGCGUGCUUAACACAUGCAAGUCGAACGGGCCCGCUCUCUUUUUUGGGGGUGGGUUGAGUGGCGAACGGGUGAGUAUCACGUGAGUAACCUGCCCCCUGCUCCUGGAUAACUGCUUGAAAGGGCGGCUAAUACGGGGUGUGCCGGCUGGUCCGCAUGGGCCUGGUCGGGAUAGUUUCAUCUUCGGGUGUUUCGGUGGGGGAUGGGCUCGCGGCCUAUCAGCUUGUUGGGGGGGUGAUGGCCCACCAAGGCGGUGACGGGUAGCCGGCCGGGGAGGGUGGGCGGCCAGACUGGGAGUGAGACACGGCCCAGACUGCGGCGGGAGGCAGCAGGGGGGGGGAUUGCACAGUGGGCGGAAGCCUGAAGCAGCGACGUCGCGUGAGGGAUGGAGGCCUUCGGGUUGUGAACCUCUUUCGCCGGGGGUGAAGGCCCUGUCCGUUGCGGCGGGGUUGACGGUAGCCGGGUAUGAAGCGCCGGCUAACUACGUG
rnacentral:rRNA from 1 species